AUUGAACGCUGGCGGCAGGCCUAACACAUGCAAGUCGAACGAGUGGCGGACGGGAGAGUAAUGUCUGGGAAAAGGCCUGAUGGUGGGGGAUAAAUAAUGGAAACGGUCGCUAAUACCGCAGUCCAUUGAAUGUGCCAAGCUGGGAUUAGGUACUAGGUGGGGUAAAGGCUCACCUAGGCGACGAUCCCUAGCUGUUCUGUGAGGAUGACCAGCCAGACUGUAACUGGGACGCGGUCCCGACUCCUACGGGCGGCAGCAGUGGAGAAUAUUGCACAUUGGGCGCAAACCUGGUGCAGCCAUGCCGCGUGUAUGCAGAAGGCCUUCGGGUUGUGGAGUACUUUCAGCUGGCAGGCGUUACCCGCAGAAGAAGCACCGGCUAACUCCGAGCCAGCGGCCGCGGUAAUUC
rnacentral:rRNA from 1 species